GGCAACCCAACAGAAUGGAAUAGAUGAACCUCUAGGUACAGUUAGCGUAUGAUACAGUCUCUUUAUCGUGGAUCCCAAUAGGAUGGAGGUCAUGGAUAACUCGUCAAACUCCAUCAUCUGUCAUAUGUAAAAUUUAUUCGACUCCAGUUCGAGAUUGGAAAACUCUUUUUCCAAAAACUACCUUGGCCAAAGAUUUACGAACUCAGUCUCAUAAAUCAUAUAGGAUCUCUCCUAAUCUAUCAAGAUCGAUAGAUUCCAUCUAGAUGCACCCCUACUCCUGCAAUGAACCUACCGUAGCCAAUCUGCACCACACGGACCCAAAUGGAUAGGGCCCAUAUUUAUGUGCUCGUCAAACUACAGCAACCUCACUGUGAAUAGCCGAGGCAUUGCAGGUCAAAGGAUCAGUCAUACAACUGCAGCAUCAAGUAAGUCACUGACGAGUGGAUAGACAUCCAAGUGACUACUUGCUUUGGUCACGAUCAGUACCCUUGUUCUCUAACAAGCACUUGCACAAUCACUUCAGUGUCUCCACACUGUGGACUCAAGACUCAUCCAUCUGACUAAGUGAUCUGUGCACUAAUCUCAGCGGAUCGAUCACCGUUCUUCGUGAUGAAUCCAUCAAUCAGGAGCAAUUCAGGAAUUAAUCAUCAAUGACACAUGCCUCAAAUUCUCAACUCUUGAGAAUAUGCAUCAUAAUCUUAUUAAUUUCUUGGACGAUUCAUGGACAUAUAAGAACAUGAAUGAAAAGAAAGCCCAUCCUAAUAAAUUUAUUAUUAGGUCAAGUAUAAAUUUAUGUCCUAGAACAAAAUAAUGCGUCAGCCAAAUUGGCUUCUAGGGCAUACUUCUAACAAUCUUCCACUUGCACUAAAGCUAAUCAACCAUAAAUCUAAGCCCCAUCCUCUCAAGAUGUGCUUCAAUUUUCUGCUGAUUUAGCUGCUUAGUGAAUGGGUCCACCACAUUUCCUAUGGGAUCUACUCUCUGUACCUUUACUUAUUUCUUUUUGAGGUAGUCGCGUAUCAGGUUAAACCUCCGCUCUAUGUGCUUAGACUUCUGGUAAGACCUUGGCUCCUUAGCAAGUGCUAUGGUGCCAUUAUUAUCGUAGUAUAGUAUUAUGGCAUCUGAUGACAUUACACCUAAUUCUGCAAUAAAAUUCUUGAUCCAGAAGGUUUCCACUGCACCCUUAGAGGCGGCGAUAUAUUUAGUUUUCAAGAUAGAAUCUGUAAUGAUCGGUUGUUUAGAACUCUUCUAAAUUACCGAACCACCAUUGCACAUAUUCUGAUGUAGACUUUCUAUCAUCAAUAUGUGUGUAUCCUUCUACCUUUAACUCUGAUCUUCUUCUAAAGACCAAGAACAUGUUCUCAGUUCUUCUCAAGUACUUAAGACUGUUCUUCACAGCUAUCCAGUGCUCGUGGCCUAGAUUUGACUGAUAUAUGCUCGUGACACUCACAACAUGUGCUAUAUCAAGUCGUGUACAUAGCAUGAUAUACAUGAGGCUCCCUAUAGCCGAAGCAUAAGGGAUCUUGCUCAUCCGCUGAAUCUCUUCAGAUGUGUUGGGGCACAUCUUCUUGGAGAGAUUUAUCCCAUGCCUAAGGGGUAAUAAUCCCCUUUUAGAGGUUUCCAUGCCGAACCUCUUCAGCAUUUUCUCUAUGUACAUAUUCUGUGAUAGGACAAGCAUCCUCUUAGAUCUAUCUCUAUAGACCUUAAUUUCCAAAAUAUAGGAUGCUUUCCAAAGGUCUUUCAUGGAGAAUUUCUUAGACAACCAUACCUUGAUCUUAGUUCGCAUGGGAAUAUCAUUCCCAACAAGAAGAAUAUCAUCCGCAUACAAUACGAGAAAUACAAUAGCCCUCCCACUAACUUUCUUAUAAACACAUGGUUCCUCUUCGUUCUUGAUGAAGACAAACGAUUUGAUUACAUCGUUGAAAUGAUUUUUCCAACUCCGAGAUGCUUGUUUUAGUCCAUAGAUGGACAUUAGCAGUUUAUAGACCUUGUGAUCACCAUCACAAUAUCAUGAUUUACUGCAACAACAAGCAAUAUUCGAAUGGACUUCAGCAUGACUACAGGUGAAAAGGUAUCCUGAUAGUCAAUGCUUUCGCACUGACUAUAACCUUUCGCCACUAGCCUUGCCUUAUAGGUCUCUACCUUGCCAUCCGAACUUAAUUUUCUCUUGUAGAUCUAUUUACACCCAAUAGAUACUCUACCUUCUAGUGGAUCUAUUAAGGUCCAGACUUGGUUGAAAUGCAUGGAGUCCAUCUUUGACUUCAUUGCUUCCAGCCAUCUCUCGAAAUUGAUGUCUAACAUCGCCUCGUUGUAGGUAUUGGAAUCCAUACUUUGAUCCCUAUCUCGCAUGAAGAACAUUUUCUCUACAUCCUCUGUAAGCAUACCUAAGUACCUUUUAGGAGGAUAGAAGAUCAUACUAGGUUUACGAGGUGGAGGAGGUACUGCAUAUACUGGCUCAAUAUGAAUAGAUUUUAUAGGCACAAUGGCUCAUUGCUCUCCAGAGACUUUCUCUUCAAGCUCAGUUUUUCUCCCACUGCCUCUAUCAAGAAAAAACUAUUUUUCAUGAAGAUAGCAUGUCGGCUCACAAACACUUUGUGAUCCUAUGGGACAAAAAAUCAUAUCCUAAUGACUCUUAAGGAUAUCCAUUAAAAUAAGCACUAAUUGUCCUAUCCUCUAACUUAUCCGUCUAUUGUCACUUGACUUGGGCCGAACAUUCCCAAAUCUUAAGAUAACCAAGAUUCGGCUUCUUACCAUGCCAUAUCUCUCGUAUGGUGUGGUAGGUACGGACUUUAGAGGAAACUCUAUUCAAUAAGUAAAUAGUUGAAAAUAUGGUAUCUCUCUAAAGAAACAAGGGUAAAUUAGUGAAGCUCAUCAUGGAUAUGACCAUAUCCAAUAGGAUCCGAUUCCUCCUCUCUGACACCCCAUUGAGUCAGGUGUACUAGGAGGGGUCCAUUAUGAAACUAUACCAUUCUCUUUGAGAUAAUCACGAAACUCUUCAUUAAGGUGCUUACCUCCUCAAUCCGAUCGAAGAACCUUAAUGAGUUUUUCUGUUUGUUUUUCUACUUCAUAUCUGAACUCUUUGAACUUUUUAAAAGCUUCAAAUUUGUGUCUCAUACAUAUAUCCAUACCAUAAGUAAUCAUCGGUAAAUGAAGUAAAAAUUAUGAUCCCUAGCCUGCACAUCGAAUGGGUCACACAUGUCAGUGUGUACUAAGGUAAGUAUUUCAGUGGACCUCUCCCCGUAUCCUACAAAGGAUAAUUUGACCAUCUUUUCCUUGAAGGCAGGAUUCACAAUUCGGAUAUGACUCAAAAGUCAAUGAGCCAGAAGCCCAUAUUUCUCCAAUUUGUUUAUUAUGUCUUCUCCUAUAUGGCCAAGCAUGAGGUGCCACAAAUACUUUAAAUUUAUCUCAUCUCUAGAUCUUUUGGAUCCUAUGGUACUCACUAUUUGCUCAGAUAAUUUCACAGAUACAUCGAAAUGUAAGUGAUAGAGACUGUCAAUCAUAAAACCAUGUGAAAUCAAUUUAUUUUUCGAAUAAAUGGAACAGCAGUCUUAUAAAAAUCUUUCUGUGCUAAACAAGAUACAGAAAUCAAAUUUCUGCUAGCAGCAGGUAACAGUUCCUAAGUAUCCUAAGCAUAUCUGACAUACCUUCUGAAGGUGUGUCACCCUUUUUUGCUCUUUAUGCUUCUCAUGUAUGUAGGACAGUUCCUCUUCCAAUGUCCGUCCAUAAUGCAAUGGAAACACUUUUCCUUGCAAUCGGUCUUUUUCUUGGAACUUUCUUACUUGGCUCUUUCUUGGUCUUCUGCUUCUUCGCAGGCUUCUUCUUCUUUCAGGUAGACUCUUUCUUGGAAGUAGAAGCCAACUCGACAGCGAGAACUAUGCCCCUUGAACUCUUUAAGGUCCCUAAGGUAGUUACCAAUUUGUUUAACAAUUCUGUUUUGGUGCAUACAGUCUUGUUCAUAUGAUAGUUUACUAUAAACUAUUCAUAUGAAGCUGGAAGGGAUUGCGGGAUCAAAUCCGUUUGUAAUUUCUUGUGCAUGGUCAAAUCGAGCUUCUCAAGCUCCUCCAAGUCCUUUAUCAUGGUCAGACCAUGGUCAUGGACAGACUGCCCUUCGCGUAUCUUGGUCUUGAAGAGCCUUUUGGAUACUUCAAACUGUGCUGCGCGACUCUGUUCACCCUACAACUCUUACAAGUGAUUUAAUAUGUCCCGGCAGUCUUCAUGUUCUCAUGCUAUUAUGUAGCACCUAACUUUAUUGUCAUCGUUCGUCCACUUGUCAUGCGUCUUACGCUGAUCAGUGAUCGGACGGACUGGUAACACGGGGAUGUCAUGGUCUAGCAUAUACCCUAAUUUCUCACAAUUCAAAACUAUUUUGAAAUUGCUGAGCCAGUCUUUAUAAUUGAGUUUGGUCAAAUGGUUGUUCUCUAGGAUAUGAGUUAAGAGUUUGGAAGCUAACAUUAUAAUCCUCAGAGAGUAAAAAUUCUAGUUAAAAUUUUGUACUUGAACUCUAUUUGUUUUAGGGACAUUUAAAACAAACACCUCCCACUAUUUUCUCGAAUCUCUUACACUCCUCCGGUAGAGAAACAGAAACCUGCAACUCUAGAUUUCAAGUGGGGUACUACGGUCCCACCAAUUUACAUGUCACCUCACCUAACAGUUAUUGGUGACAUAUAAACAAUGAGUGUACAACUUCUUGUACAAUGUUUCUCAAGCAAGUUGUAGCCAACUUGGUCUCCAAGUCAUAAGGACCUCACCUAACAGUUAUUAGCUCCGUUCCUUAGUUAAGUCAAACCCACCAUAUAUCCCGUAGAAAUAAAGCCGUCAUUGGGUCCUCACCUAACAGUUAUUGGAGCCCAAUCCCAUCUUUACCCCCACUACAUCUCAUGUCAAUAGAGAGGUCCAGUCUCCCAAUGCAACGUGCCCAUUGUAUCUAGCCGAGAUAAAUCAACGUCGGAAAAACCUUAGCAGCUCUACUAUGGUGGAAGACCUCUAGACUUAAUAUUAUGUAAUAUAGUCUUAGUGAUUCCAACUUUGAGCUCUUCAUAGGUGAUAAUCGAUCAAUUGGCCAGGUAAGCAGGUGGGAGGUUCUCCUUACUCAGAGAGUAAGGUUCUAAUUAAGUAACCACCUUUAAUGCUUUCCUAGACACCAAUUAGAUCAAUUAAUCAAAUAUGGCUAGCUCAAUGUAUCAUUCACUCUCGACUGAUUGAGAAGGUUUUAAUCGAUUUAGGUUUCGAUUAGGGUUUAUAUCUUAUGUAAAUAUGCCCCUCCCUUCUAAUCUUAAUCAAAUUAGGAUUUAGGUGGUCCUUGCUUCAUUGAAUCCUAAUCUAAUUAGGAAUCAAUUUGUCUCCCUAUUUGACUCCCAUGAAUCCUAAUCUAAUUUGGAGUCAUCUUUAUCUAUUGGACCAAAAUUAAUUAGGACUCUAGGAAUCCUAAUCCAAUUAGGACUCAUAUAAUUUUAGUCCUAAUCCAAUUAGGACUUUUAGGAAUCCUACUCCAAGUAGGACUCUAAUAAUUUGAAGUCCUAAUCUAAUUAGAACUCUAGGAGUCCUACUUCAAGUAGGACUCUUGAACCUUAUCAAAUAAAAUCGAGUCCAAUUAAUUAAGUCCAAUUGAUUCAAUCAAAUUACAAAUAAUUCCUUCUUCAACUCACUAACUCUUAGUGGAUUAAACCAAUUAUCAAUCAAAUUGACAAUUACAAACUAUUGUGAUUCCAAAUCACAAUCUAACCAUUAGAUCAAUCCGAUCCUCUAUUGUGUGUGACCUAGUGAGAUAUAUUGUGAUCCCUAGCACAAUAUCAUUCAAACUCCUUUCAAUGGGUUGGAACAAUUCCAACUCUUCUCAUUCGGGUUCACUGAUCAUCAAGUGAAUGCCUCUCAGUCUCACAAUCCACUAGUGACACCUAGCAGCAUGUAGUGGCAACCCAAAAGAAUGGAAUAGAUGAACCUCUAGGUGCAGUUAGCGUAUGAUACAGUUCCUCUAUCGUGGAUUCCAAUAGGAUGGAGGUCAUGGAUAACUCGUCAAACUCCAUCAUCUGUCAUAUGUAAAAUUUAUUCGACUCCAGUUCGAGAUUGAAAAACUCUUUUUCCAAAAACUACCUUGGCCAAGGAUUUACGAACUCAGUCUCAUAAAUC
rnacentral:lncRNA from 1 species